rnacentral:rRNA from 1 species
AGGACGAACGCUGGCGGCGUGCUUAACACAUGCAAGUCGAGCGGAAAGGCCCUUCGGGGUACUCGAGCGGCGAACGGGUGAGUAACACGUGAGUAAUCUGCCCCUAGCUCUGGGAUAGCUCCGGGAAACCGGGAUUAAUACCAGAUACGACCACUUUAGACAUCUGUUGUGGUGGAAAGAAUUUCGGCUAGGGAUGAGCUCGCGGCCUAUCAGCUUGUUGGUGAGGUAACGGCUCACCAAGGCGACGACGGGUAGCCGGCCUGAGAGGGCGACCGGCCACACUGGGACUGAGACACGGCCCAGACUCCUACGGGAGGCAGCAGUGGGAUAUUGCGCAAUGGGCGAAAGCCUGACGCAGCGACGCCGCGUGGGGGAGUGAAGGCCUUCGGGUUGUAAACCCCGUUUCAGCAGGACGAAGCGAAGUGACGGUACCUGCAGAAGAAGCGCCGGCUAACUACGCGCCAGCACGCCGC